GAUCAUGGCUCAGGAUGAACGCUAGCUACAGGCUUAACACAUGCAAGUCGAGGGGCAACAUGAACUUAGCUUGCUAAGUUUGAUGGCGACCGGCGCACGGGUGAGUAACACGUAUCCAACCUGCCGAUGACUCGGGGAUAGCCUUUCGAAAGAAAGAUUAAUACCCGAUGGCAUAGUUCUUCCGCAUGGUAGAACUAUUAAAGAAUUUCGGUCAUCGAUGGGGAUGCGUUUCCAUUUAGG
rnacentral:rRNA from 1 species